rnacentral:rRNA from 1 species
GAGGAAUAUUGCGCAAUGGGGGAAACCCUGACGCAGCGACGCCGCGUGAGUGAUGAAGGCCUUCGGGUUGUAAAGCUCUGUCAGAGGGAAAGAAAGGGGAUAUGGCUAAUAUCCAUGUCCAUUGACGGUACCCUCAGAGGAAGCACCGGCUAACUCCGUGCCAGCAGCCGCGGUAAUACGGAGGGUGCUAGUGUUAUUCGGAAUCACUGGGCGUAAAGAGCACGUAGGCGGAUAGGUAAGUCAGAUGUGAAAUCCCGAAGCUUAACUGCGGAACUGCAUUUGAUACUGCCUGUCUUGAGUGUGGUAGAGGGGGAUGGAAUUCCCGGUGUAGAGGUGAAAUUCGUAGAUAUCGGGAGGAACACCAGAGGCGAAGGCGAUCCCCUGGGCCACUACUGACGCUGAGGUGCGAAAGCGUGGGGAGCAAAC